CUAAAAAAUGUGCUUUAUGCUCAUAAGCCGCGCAGAUGAAAAACAAAAUCAUAAUCGACCAUUCAAUCAUAUAUCAGUCUUCUUUCUCUCUAUCUCAAAUCCUAAUCUACCAAUUUAUAGUUUUAGUGAUUUUUUGUGUGUUUUGUUAUUAUCGCAGCAAAUUAGUUCUCGCUGAAAUGGGUGCUUCUGCUCCAGUAAAUAAACAGCCAUGUCUUGAAUAUACCGAUAAAUACAACAGCAUGCACAUGAAACUAAUCCAACUGUGGCUGACAAGUUUCGCCAUCGGCAUACCUUCACUGAGACUACUGUUCUUCUUUGAUUUUCGGCAUUACGAAGUAAUAAUUGCUGCAUUCUUUACCAUGUUGAUAUUCGGAACUAUGUACAUACUCGAUGAGAACGACCGUUUACGGAGAACCAAUGACGGUGUUGAACCUUGUAACGAAGUAAUUGUACCAGAUGGUGAACGUUUGAAUUCUGUUAAUAGUUCAUCGAAUCAUCAAAAUAAAUCGUCUGAGACAGCCACUGGUGCUCGGGUAGAACUUCUUACUCCGAUGACGGAAGCAAAUUAGCCGCAAAGCAGUAGGUCGACCGUUAGUUUAACUUUAAUUUAUUACCGCCAAAUAA